GCCGCUAUGGUGAAAUUGGUAGACACGC
rnacentral:tRNA from 120 species